rnacentral:rRNA from 1 species
AGCCUGAUCUCAGCCAUGCCGCGUGAGUGAUGAAGGCCUUAGGGUCGUAAAGCUCUUUCGCCAGAGAUGAUAAUGACAGUAUCUGGUAAAGAAACCCCGUGCUAACUCCGUGCCAGCAGCCGCGGUAAUACGGAGGGGGUUAGCGUUGUUCGGAAUUACUGGGCGUAAAGCGUACGUAGGCGGAUUAGUCAGUCAGAGGUGAAAUCCCAGGGCUCAACCCUGGAACUGCCUUUGAUACUGCUAGUCUUGAGUUCGAGAGAGGUGAGUGGAAUUCCAAGUGUAGAGGUGAAAUUCGUAGAUAUUCGGAGGAACACCAGUGGCGAAGGCGGCUCACUGGCUCGAUACUGACGCUGAGGUACGAAAGUGUGGGGAGCAAACAGGAUUAGAUACCCUGGUAGUCCACACCGKAAACGAUGAAUGCCAGUCGUCGGGCAGUAUACUGUUCGGUGACACACCUAACGGAUUAAGCAUUCCGCCUGGGGAGUACGGUCGCAAGAUUAAAACUCAAAGGAA